GACAGAGGGUGCAAACGUUGUUCGGAUUUACUGGGCGUAAAGCGCGUGUAGGCGGCUUGGCAAGUCGGAUGUGAAAGCCCACGGCUCAACCGUGGAAGCGCAUCCGAAACGGCCUCGCUCGAGUCUCGGAGAGGAAGGUGGAAUGCUUGGUGUAGAGGUGAAAUUCGUAGAUAUCAAGCAGAACACCUGCGGCGAAGGCGGCCUUCUGGACGAUGACUGACGCUGAGACGCGAAAGCGUGGGGAGCGAUCCGG
rnacentral:rRNA from 1 species